AAGAGAAACUACGAAUCAGAAGAAGAGAAAAGAAGGAAGAUGAAGAGGUGGUUCGAUCCAUGGCCUGUUUUCUUCAAGAAAGGGUUCAACCGGACGUGGCCAUUCCUUGUUGGUUUCGCUGUAACCGGAACCAUCAUCACCAAGUUCUCCCUUGGCCUCACCGAGGAAGAUGUCGAGAACUCACCUUUCGCUCAGAAGCACAAGGUGAUCUGCUGAUUCCAGAUACUCAUCUGGUUUGAGGCUUUUGGUUGUCGUUUUGCGAUGAGCUAUAAUAAUAACGUCAAGAAAUCACCAGUUGUGAAUUGUGAUAUCAUUAAUGGUUGUCUUUGAACAAUGUUAAAGCGCCUUUUUCCAGUUAGUGUUUAGGCCUUGAUAUUUGUAUAAUCAUUUUGAUAACAAUAAA